rnacentral:tRNA from 1 species
AUUUAUGUAGUUUAAUUAAAACUUUACAUUUUCAAUGUAAAAAUAAAUUUUUAUUUUAUAAAUU